UACAGAGGGUGCGAGCGUUGUCCGGAAUUACUGGGCGUAAAGGGCUCGUAGGCGGCCAACUAAGUCAGACGUGAAAUCCCUCAGCUUAACUGGGGAACUGCGUCUGAUACUGGAUGGCUUGGAUCCGGGAGAGGGAUGCGGAAUUCCAGGUGUAGCGGUGAAAUGCGUAGAUAUCUGGAGGAACACCGGUGGCGAAGGCGGCAUCCUGGACCGGUAUUGACGCUGAGGAGCGAAAGCCAGGGGAGCAAACGGG
rnacentral:rRNA from 1 species